AUGUCCGCGCCGAGCGCCGCGGGGCCGCGGGGCUCUCGGCGGUCUGGGUGGGCUCCCUGGCCUCCGUCGGCUCCAGAGACCCCGCGGACUCGCGCGCGCGACUCCCCGGGGGCCGCCGCCCUGCCGGGUCGACCAGCUGUCCCGCCCGGACUUGGUCCCCGGCCCGGGCGCGCGGGCCGACCAGAUGUCCGCGCCGAGCGCCGCGGGGCCGCGGGGCUCUCGGCGGUCUGGGUGGGCUCCCUGGCCUCCGUCGGCUCCAGAGACCCCGCGGACUCGCGCGCGCGACUCCCCGGGGGCCGCCGCCCUGCCGGGUCGACCAGCUGUCCCGCCUGGACUUGGUCCCCGGCCCGGGGCGCGCGGGUCGACCAGAUGUCCGCGCCGAGCGCCGGGGCCGCGGGGCUCUCGGCGGUCUGGGUGGGCUCCCUGGCCUCCGUCGGCUCCAGAGACCCGCGGACUCGCGCGCGCGACUCCCCGGGGGCCGCCGCCCUGCCGGGUCGACCAGCUGUCCCGCCUGGACUUGGUCCCCGGCCCGGGGCGCGCGGGUCGACCAGAUGUUCGCGCCGAGCGCCGCGGGGCCGCGGGGCGCACGGGCUUCUCGGAGCCCUCGGGGCUCCCUGGAGGCUGCGGACGAGCGGCCGCGAGGCCCCCGGGGCCGCCGCCCUGCCGGGUCGACCAGCGGCCCGGCCCGGACUCGGCCCCCGGGUCCCGUGGCGCGCGGGUCGACCAGAUGUCCGCGCGAGCGCCGAGCGGCGCGGGACCGCGGGGCGCUCGGCCUUCUCGGAGGCUCGAGGGCUCCGGCGACCCGGCGGACGAGCAGCGGCGAGGCCGCCGGGGCCGCCGCCCUGCCGGGUCGACCGGCGACCCGGCCCCCGGGUCUGGUGGCACGCGGGUCGACCAGAUGUCCGCGCCGAGCGCCGCGGGGUCGCGGGGCCACGGGGCGCUCGGGCUUCUCGGAGCCCCGAGGGCUCCCUGGAGCCUGCGGACGAGCAGCGGCGAGGCCCCCGGGGCCGCCGCCCUGCCGGGUCGACCAGCGGCCCGGCCCGGAAUCGGCCCCCGGGUCCCGUGGCGCGCGGGCCGACCAGAUGUCCGCGCCGAGCGCCGCGUGACUGCGGGUCGCUCGGGCUUCUCGCAGUCCGAGGGUUCCGCGGGCACGUAGCUGCGAGACCCGGGCGGCUGCCCUCCGCCCGGCUCACGGGGGCGGUCGUGUCCAUCAGCUGGUCGUGCGGAAAUCCCGUGGUUGGCCUCCCUCCCUCCCUCCCUCCCUCCCUCCCUCCCUCGUCCAGCCGCACGUUUGCGGGGUUCGUGCGACUGGGAUGA
rnacentral:lncRNA from 1 species